AUUGAACGCUGGCGGCAUGCCUUACACAUGCAAGUCGAACGGCAGCACGGGAGCUUGCUCCUGGUGGCGAGUGGCGAACGGGUGAGUAAUACAUCGGAACGUACCCUGAAGUGGGGGAUAACGUAGCGAAAGUUACGCUAAUACCGCAUAUUCUGUGAGCAGGAAAGAGGGGGAUCGCAAAACCUCUUGCUUUAGGAGCGGCCGAUGUCGGAUUAGCUAGUUGGUGAGGUAAAGGCUCACCAAGGCGACGAUCCGUAGCGGGUCUGAGAGGAUGAUCCGCCACACUGGGACUGAGACACGGCCCAGACUCCUACGGGAGGCAGCAGUGGGGAAUUUUGGACAAUGGGCGCAAGCCUGAUCCAGCCAUGCCGCGUGAGUGAAGAAGGCC
rnacentral:rRNA from 1 species